rnacentral:rRNA from 1 species
UAGGGAAUCUUCCGCAAUGGACGCAAGUCUGACGGAGCAACGCCGCGUGAGUGAAGAAGGAUUUCGGUUCGUAAAACUCUGUUGUUAGAGAAGAACAGCGCAUAGAGUAACUGUUAUGCGUGUGACGGUAUCUAACCAGAAAGCCACGGCUAACUACGUGCCAGCAGCCGCGGUAAUACGUAGGUGGCAAGCGUUGUCCGGAUUUAUUGGGCGUAAAGCGAGCGCAGGCGGUCAAUUAAGUCUGAUGUGAAAGCCCCCGGCUCAACCGGGGAGGGUCAUUAGAAACUGGUUGACUGUAGUGCAGAAGAGGAGAGUGGAAUUCCAUGUGUGACGGUGAAAUGCGUAGAUAUAUGGAGGAACACCAGUGGCGAAGGCGACUCUCUGGUCUGUAACUGACGCUGAGGCUCGAAAGCGUGGGUAGCAAACAGG